GCCAACAGGCGCGCGCCAAAAAAAAAGCUUUUAAGGCUGAGGUAAACAGCUGUUCCACGGAUGUCCCUCAGUUGGCCAUGAAAACCUAGCACCACACACACACACGCGGACAGAAAUGAAAGGAAUGUGAAUUCUAGGAUAUAAUCUACGCACCAUUCUGCUCGUUCUCCGUGCAUUUCUUAUCGGGCAUUAUUCACAAAACAAAUCCCGAGAUGAAGGUUCUGCGACAGCUGUUCUGCGCCAGGUAAGGUGAAAAGUGCACUGUUUCAGCGACAAUGGGAGAUUGGGAUUAGCAGCCGCAGAGCGCCGCAUCUGGCGAAAUUGAGCGAGCGAAUGGAACUGAGCGCCGUACAACAUGGCGUAUGCUUCUAUUACACAUACGCACCGGCUGCCCACACACACACACACCCAUAUUUUACGAGAGAGCGCAAGAGAGCGCCAAGGAUGGGAUGAUGCGCAGUUAAGUUGAUGCCACAAGGAAAAGCUUUCGGGACGCACUUUUCCUCUCUUUUUCGGAAUCAGCUGUUUUCGAUAGGUAAUUUCCAUAGAAUUUUU
ensembl:ncRNA asRNA:CR45121 antisense RNA:CR45121